rnacentral:rRNA from 1 species
UACGAAGGGGGCUAGCGUUGUUCGGAAUUACUGGGCGUAAAGCGCGCGCAGGCGGUCUUCCAAGUCAGUGGUGAAAGCCCGGAGCUCAACUCCGGAAUUGCCAUUGAAACUGUGAGACUGGAGUACGAGAGAGGUGAGUGGAAUUCCCAGUGUAGAGGUGAAAUUCGUAGAUAUUGGGAAGAACACCGGUGGCGAAGGCGGCUCACUGGCUCGUAACUGACGCUCAGGCGCGACAGCGUGGGGGAUCAAAACAGG